GAUGAACGCUGGCGGCGUGCCUAAUACAUGCAAGUCGAGCGAACAGACGAGGAGCUUGCUCCUCUGACGUUAGCGGCGGACGGGUGAUUAACACGUGGAUAACCUACCUAUAAGACUGGGAUAACUUCGGGAAACCGGAGCUAAUACCGGAUAAUAUAUUGAACCGCAUGGUUCAAUAGUGAAAGACGGUUUUGCUGUCACUUAUAGAUGGAUCCGCGCCGCAUUAGCUAGUUGGUAAGGUAACGGCUUACCAAGGCAACGAUGCGUAGCCGACCUGAGAGGGUGAUCGGCCACACUGGAACUGAGACACGGUCCAGACUCCUACGGGAGGCAGCAGUAGGGAAUCUUCCGCAAUGGGCGAAAGCCUGACGGAGCAACGCCGCGUGAGUGAUGAAGGUCUUCGGAUCGUAAAACUCUGUUAUUAGGGAAGAACAAAUGUGUAAGUAACUAUGCACGUCUUGACGGUACCUAAUCAGAAAGCCACGGCUAACUACGUG
rnacentral:rRNA from 1 species